rnacentral:lncRNA from 1 species
AGAGACGUGCAUAUAUUUUAGUAUACAUGGAAACUGACUUCAAGUAGGAGCCAUCUAUCAGGUGACACAAAAUAAUAACGGCUCAGAUAUUGUAUAGGUUUAAAAUGUACAGAUGACAAACUCUAACCUACAAACUCUAGCCUUAACUACGCUUCUUUACAAAUAAGAAUUCUAUAUCGACUCAAUUCGUACACAUCAAGGCAAGACAUCACCCCUGAUCUCAUCCUUCAUCACAUACAUGCAAUAAUUAGUCCUCUCGCCAGCAACAAGGAGCAGACAGGUUGUGUGACAGUACUUGCAGGUAAUGUUCAUUAUCUCCUUCCACAAAUAAUACAUGCAUGUCUCCUUGCAAUGAUUAAUAUAUGCAUUAACUCUCCGAUCUCAUUACACAUGCUUUGUAUUAACUUGAAUUACAGAGAGAAAGCGCCGAUAAACUUGGGAUUCAGAUCACCAAUUACAGAGCAUGCACAUCCUGGCAAGACAUUGCCCUCCUCUCGCAAGCAGCAAGGAGCAGACAGGUUGCGUGGCAGUACUUGCAGCCAAUGUUCAUUAUCUCCUUCCACAAAUAAUAUAUGCAUGUCUCCUGCAAUGAUUAAUAUAUACAUCAACUCUCCGAUCUCAUUACACAUGCUUUGUAUUAACUUGAAUUACAGAGAGAAAGUGGCGAUAAACUUGAGAUUCAGAUCACCAAUUACAGAGCAUAUACGUCCUCUCAUUGGAAGGUGACAACACAAGUAUCCUUCUUUCACAAUAGAAUAAUGAUUUUAGACGAUUUAAAAGCCUUUGUUGGAAAACAAUCCAUACGAAAAAGAAUCUUAUCAGGAAACUAUCUGUUCCAUACAAAUACCUUCAGCAUUCUUGCAAACAAUGUGGUGCCUGACAUGUUUACAUUAAAUUUAUCAUCAGCAAUUCUGAAUUUCUGGACAAAUAAAAUCAGUUACGUAUAAGAUGCCCUCACUUAUAUCUCAGAAUAAAAUCAGUUACACUUUUUACCUCAUUAUUUCAGGAUUCACUAGCCGCAGUCAACAUGCGUCGAACACACACUAGAGCAAAUCAAAACAACGGAAGGUAUUCAUUACCACAGUACCAAAAAUAAUCAUAUAAAUAUUAAUUUACCUGGAUUAUUAAAAUGAUAACAAAAUAAAAUGCAGGAAUAUGUGGCAUCAUCAAGGAAUCCAAAUACCUGAGCAAGCAGCCUCUAAACUAGCAACACUCGAAUCUAAUGAUAGUCAAUCAGACAUCAUUAGAGCAGCAGCAAAGGAAGCUAGGCGGAAAAGGAAAGAGAUCCUCCAGCUGAAAAAGGCAAGCAAACGACUAAGGACAGAAAAGGGCAAUGACUGUGAAGUAUCUAAUGUAGCGAAGGAUGUCACUCAAGUUUCAUAUCUGGGAAAACCAAAUUGUGUUUGUGAAUUUUGCAAUGCCAUUAUGUGGCAUGGAGAGAGAAGCACAAGCACAGGUAACAUCACAGUUCCAAAAUUUGGUCUCUGCUGCAAGGAAGGGAAAGUUAAAUUGCCACCACUGAAGCAAGCUCCGCUGUAUCUCCGACAGCUACUACGUUACAAUGAAAGAAGAGAAUCAUCAAAUUUCCGCCAGAACAUCAGGUUGUACAACUCGAUGUUCGCAUUCACUUCAAUGGGAGGAAAGGUUGACUAUGAAAUUAAUAAGCAGGCAUCUGGACCGUAUGUUUUCCGUUUGAAUGGCCAGAAUUACCAUCAGAUUGGCACUUUACUUCCUAAGGAUGGCGUGACGAAACCAAAAUUUGCCCAAUUGUACAUACAUGACACAUAAAAUGAAGUGCGGAAUAGGAUUAAUGCAUCUGCUUCAACGGAGAGUAAGACACAACCAGAUGAAAACAUUGUCAAAGGACUACUGGAGAUGCUUGAUGAGCACAAUGUUUUAGUCAAAUCAUUUCGUAUGGCAAGGGACAGAUUCCAAAACCGACGUAUUAAAGAUGUAAGACUAAGAUUGAUCAACAAAAGGUCGAAAGAUGGACGGCAAUACAACCUACCAUCUGCCUCAGAAGUCGCAGCACUAAUUAUUGGGGAACAAGAUGGAGAAAAUAAUGAAUUUGAUAUAAUAGUUGAGACCAAAGACAGAAUGUUACAGAGGAUUUCAGAGUUGCACCCAAGCUAUAUGUCAAUGCAGUACCCCUUGCUUUUUCCAUAUGGAGAAGAUGGUUUCAGACCAGAAAUAGAGUAUGAAAAUAAAAGAGGCAACAAAGGUAAAAGAAAGUAUGUAACAAUGCUGGAGUUUUAUGCGUAUCGCAUACAACAAGGUCUGAACCAAGCUUCAACAUUGCAAAUGAGUGGACGUUUGUUCCUGCAGUUCUUAGUUGAUGCAGCAACGUGCAUUGAACAAUGGAGACUAAAUUGGUACAGGACAAACCAAGGUAAGUUGAGGACAGAACUGUACAGAGGACUGCAUGAUGCAAUAGAAAAUGGAGAUACACGAACCGAACAAGUUGGACAAAGAAUCAUACUACCCUCAUCAUAUAAUGGCAGUCCAAGAAAUAAGCAGCAAAACUACCAAGAUGCCAUGGCGAUUUGUCGUUGGGCUGGCUAUCCUGAUCUCUUCAUUACUUUUACAUGCAAUCCAAAAUGGCUGGAAAUACAAGAUAUGUUGGAUCUGAUUCCAGGCCAGAAACCUGAAGAUCGUCCAGAUAUCGUUGCCAGAGUAUUCAUGUUAAAACUGAAGGAACUUAUGAAUGACAUAAAGAACGGAAAGUGUUUUGGACAAACAAUUGCAAGUAAGUUUACCUAAUAAGUACAUAUUCACUCUUUCCUAGAUGAUUGUCCUAACUCAUUUCUUCUCAAAUUUGUUUACUUUCAUAAAGUUGUCUACACUAUAGAGUUCCAGAAAAGAGGCCUCCCGCAUGCACACAUACUGGUGUUUCUACACCCAGAUGAUAAAGAUCCAAGUCCUUCCCAGAUCGACAAAAUCAUAUCAGCCGAAAUUCCUGAUAAGAAUAGUGAUCCAGAAGGGUACGAAGCAGUGCAAAAUUACAUGAUACAUGGUCCAUGUGGUCAAGCACACCCAAAAUCACCAUGCAUUGUCGAUAAAAGUUGUGCCAAACAUUUCCCCAAGAAUUUUUGCACUGAGACUACCAUAGAUGAAGAUAACUAUCCAGUACAUAGAAGGCAAGAUGAUGGCAACACUGUGGACAAGAAUGGAGUGAAGCUAGACAAUAGAUUUGUUGUGCCAUACAAUAGAAACCUACUGGUCAAGUAUCAAGCCCACAUAAAUGUUGAGUGGUGCAGCAAAUCAAGGUCUAUAAAGUAUUUAUUCAAAUACAUCCACAAAGGAGAAGAUCGAACAACCGUCUUGAUAGAAGCGGAAGACCAACAAAGUGAAACAAGAGCUAGCAAAUUAACAAACAGGGACGAAAAAAUCAAGAGGUACCUUGAUGCCCGG